rnacentral:lncRNA from 1 species
UUCAGAGCCUGCAGACCCGAGUGUUAGAGCUACAGCAACAAUUAGCCGUGGCUGUGGCUGCCGACCGCAAGAAAGAUACCAUGAUUGAACAACUGGACAAGACCCUGGCCCGUGUGGUGGAGGGCUGGAACCGGCAUGAGGCUGAGCGGACAGAGGUUCUCAGGGGACUUCAAGAGGAACACCAGGCAGCAGAGCUCACCAGAAGCAAGCAGCAGGAGGUGAGCGCCCUGGAGCAUAUGGCAUUAGAACCUGAGUCACAGAUCUCAAGAUGGAAAGGGGCAGAAAUAGCUCUGGAAUUAGGGUUUCCAACAGAUUGACCUCAGUCUUGUAGUGGCUGUCCUGACAUUUCUUCUCAUCCCUCCUUUCUUCUCCUUUAACCGUUUCUGCUGUCCAACUUGAAUCAUCAAUGUCUUAAUUUUUCCCACACCAUGUAGUCUUCUAUCUGGCCCCUUAGUCAUUUAGUUAACUGUGAAGUUUCAAGUUUACAUUGUCAAUGCUUUAUAAAAUAUAGCACACACAGAUUUCCCACAGUUCCUCUGCCCUGUAUUCCUCUCUUCCUGAAAGACAGUAACCCGCCUGGAACAAAGCCUUUCUGAGGCCAUGGAGGCCCUGAAUCGUGAGCAGGAAAGUGCCAGACUGCAGCAACGGGAAAGAGAGACACUGGAGGAGGAAAGGCAAGCUCUGACUCUGAGGUUGGAGGCAGAACAGCAGCGGUGCUGUGUCCUGCAGGAAGAGCGGGAUGCAGCUCGGGCUGGGCAACUGAGUGAGCAUCGAGAGUUGGAGACUCUUCGGGCUGCCCUAGAAGAAGAACGGCAGACCUGGGCCCAGCAAGAGCACCAGCUUAAGGAACACUACCAGGCGCUGCAGGAGGAGAGCCAGGCUCAGCUGGAAAGGGAGAAGGAGAAGAGCCAGAGGGAAGCCCAGGCCGCCUGGGAGACCCAGCACCAGUUGGCAUUGGUGCAGUCUGAGGUGCGGCGGCUGGAAGGAGAGCUGGAUACAGCUCGGAGAGAGAGAGAUGCCCUGCAGCUGGAAAUGAGCUUGGUGCAGGUCAGAAGGCAGAGGUUUCUUGAGGUUUUGUUCUGACAGAAGUAGAUCUGAGGCAGAGGGACCUCUCAGGAGUUGUGGCAGACACUCCCAGUUCAGGUGUUUGGGGUUUAAUUCCAUUAACAGUUUCUAUGUAGUAUGGGUAGUUUUCUGUCCUAAACUCAGAGCUAUUUCUUACUGAGUGACCAUUUCCCACAAUAUGUCAGACUGACCUAGUGUUACUUUUAGGAUUAAAUAGAUUUAAAUCUAUUAAAGAUACCUUAUGUUAUUUUAAGAGAUGACACCACACUUAGUGGGUUGACAGAGCAGGUGAAAGCUUUUGUCAGAGACUUGAUUCCAAUUGUAACAGUGUGCUUUGUAAUUCUCAUUACUUGAAUAACUUGUAUUAAUUUCUCUGAGUAGGUCAGGGACCCAGGAGGGCAAUGAUUUUUUAAUUUACUUAUGAAACUUCCAUAACAGCACAUGGCCUGGCACAGAAUUGUACUCAAAAAUUGUUUGUCAGAUAUAAUUACACUUUGAAAAACUCUUUCCAUCUAGCUAACACACUGAAUUUUAAAUUCAAACUAGUCGGACUCUUGCCAUGGAAUAGAGCAGGAGUUGGCGAACUUUUUCUGUAAAGGGCCAGACAGUAAAUAUUUUUAGCUUUGUGGGUUGUAUGGUCUCAGUUGCAACUACCCAACUCUGCUGUUAUACCACAGAAGUAGCUAUAAACUGUACGUAAACAAAUGGGCACAGCUGUGUUCUAGUACAACUUAUCUAAACAGGCAAUGGAGGGCUGAAUUGGGCUGUAGUUCGCCGAUCUCCAGAAUAGAGGAAAGGAUUGGAGAGAGCUGUGUUCCAGCCCAUGGGGGAGACACAGCGUUGAAGAGGAAAGAGUAUUGCAUUAGGACUUAGGGCACUUACGUCUACUUCUAGCUAGAAUUUUGACCUUUAUGGGCCUCUGUUUUUAUGUAUAAAAUGUGUAAGGACAAAUUGAUGAAUUUUCCAGGUGCAAGCCAGUCUGAGAGGCUAUGUUCCUUAUAAAUGGUUAACUUAAGGAGGUACCAGUGAGGCCAGCAUUUGAGAACCACAAUCCUUUGGCCCGGUAUGGUGGCUCAUGCCUGUAAUCCCAGCACUGUGGGAGGCCAAGGCGGGUGGAUCACUUGAGCCCAGGAGUUUGAGACCAGCCCGGCCAACAUGGUGAAACCCUGUCUCUACUAAAAAUACAAAAAUUAUCCAGGUGUAUGGUGCACACCUGUAGUCCCGGCUACUAAGAAGGCCGAGGCAGGAGAAUCGCUUGAACCCGGGAGGUGGAGGUUGCAGUGAGCCCAGAUUGAACCAGUGUACUCCAGCCUGGGCAACAGAGUGAG